rnacentral:rRNA from 1 species
UUAGUUAAGUUAGAAAGGGCGCACGGUGGAUGCCUUGGCACUAGGAGCCGAUGAAGGACGGGAUUAACACCGAUAUGCUUUGGGGAGCUGUAAGUAAGCUUUGAUCCAGAGAUUUCCGAAUGGGGAAACCCUCUAUCCGUAAUGGGAUAGAAUCUUUACCUGAAUACAUAGGGUACUGAAGGCAGACCCGGGGAACUGAAACAUCUAAGUACCCGGAGGAAGAGAAAGCAAACGCGAUUCCCUGAGUAGCGGCGAGCGAAACGGGAUUAGCCCAAACCAAGAGGCUUGCCUCUUGGGGUUGUAGGACACUCUAUAUGGAGUUACAAAGGAACGGGGUAGACGAAUCGAUCUGGAAAGGUCAGUCGUAGAAGGUAAAAACCCUGUAGUCGAAACUUCGUUCCCUCUUGAGUGUAUCCUGAGUACGGCGGGACACGAGAAAUCCCGUCGGAAGCAGGGAGGACCAUCUCCCAAGGCUAAAUACUCCCUAGUGACCGAUAGUGAACCAGUACCGUGAGGGAAAGGUGAAAAGCACCCCGGAAGGGGAGUGAAAUAGAUCCUGAAACCGUGUGCCUACAAGUAGUUAGAGCCCUUUUAUGGGUGAUAGCGUGCCUUUUGUAGAAUGAACCGGCGAGUUACGAUUACAUGCGAGGUUAAGUUGAAGAGACGGAGCCGCAGCGAAAGCGAGUCUGAAUAGGGCGAAAUAGUAUGUGGUUGUAGACCCGAAACCAGGUGAUCUACCCAUGUCCAGGGUGAAGUCCAGGUAACACUGGAUGGAGGCCCGAACCCACGCACGUUGAAAAGUGCGGGGAUGAGGUGUGGGUAGCGGAGAAAUUCCAAUCGAACUUGGAGAUAGCUGGUUCUCUCCGAAAUAGCUUUAGGGCUAGCCUCAAGAUUUAGAGUAUUGGAGGUAGAGCACUGUUUGGACUAGGGGCCCCC